UACGGAGGGUGCAAGCGUUAUCCGGAUUCACUGGGUUUAAAGGGUGCGUAGGUGGGAAUGUAAGUCAGUGGUGAAAUCUCCGUGCUUAACAUGGAAACUGCCAUUGAUACUAUGUUUCUUGAAUUUUCCGGAGGUAAGCGGAAUAUGUCAUGUAGCGGUGAAAUGCUUAGAUAUGUCACAGAACACCGAUUGCGAAGGCAGCUCACUAAAGUGUAACUGACGCUGAGGCACGAAAGCGUGGGGAUCAAACAGG
rnacentral:rRNA from 1 species